rnacentral:rRNA from 1 species
UACGUAGGGUGCAAGCGUUGUCCGGAAUUAUUGGGCGUAAAGGGCUCGUAGGCGGUCCGUCACGUCGGGAGUGAAAUCCUGGGGCUUAACCCCAGAACUGCUUCCGAUACGGGCAGACUAGAGGUAGGUAGGGGAGAAUGGAAUUCCUGGUGUAGCGGUGGAAUGCGCAGAUAUCAGGAGGAACACCAGUGGCGAAGGCGGUUCUCUGGGCCAAUAUUGACGCUGAGGUGCGAAAGCGUGGGGAGCAAACAGG